UUGCUGGGGUGCCGGAUGAAGAAGAUCCCGGCUUGCUGAUUUGGGAAGGAAGAAGACGCUGCGGGAUGAGCUGGAAACGUUGGUUGGAGACGCGUGGAUCACUGGAGGGGCGGACGUCGGUUGCUGGCUAGCGGGCUGAGGCGGAGGCUGCCGUGGGAUCGUCCGGCUUGGAUCACGGGAGAGGGGCUGGAGCUUACUUGGAAAGCGCCGCGGGACCACUGCUAGCAUCACGGGAGGGAAGAGCUGGCUCGGGAGCUCUCGAUGUGGAGGAGGCCGGACGGGAUGAGUGGCUGUGAGCCGCUGGGAGCAGCGUUGAAGACGCGGAAUGGAAGAGACGCACGUGGGAUGAGGCGGAGGAGCUGCAGAUCUGGAAAGAGUUGGAGGUGUCGUGGACAGCGGAUGGUGGCGUGAUCACGCCUUGCUGGAACGUUGAAUGGGUCAUGUGCCAGUUUCUGCAAUGGACUUAGAUUUUGGAAGGUCUGGGACUUUCUUUGCCCUCCUGAGAUGAGAGCUGGGAGAUGCCAAGUUCCGUCCAAUUAGUCAUAUAGAUAAAAAAAUAGUGUGAUAUGAAAUUUGGCUUGUAGACGGACGGACUGAGUUCGUCACGGGUCAUCUGUUCUGACUGGAGGUUAAGUGCAAGUCUUUCAAGUCAUGGGUCACCCAGCACCUCAUAGUUAUGAUAUGGCCAAAUUAGAUUUGCCCAAAAUUCCUUCCCAAAAACACGAAGAAAAUGGACUUGAUUCGGACCCGAACCUGACUCGGACCCGACCCGAUAUUCAACCGGAUCGGAUCUGGGGAGGGAUCCUUUUGAAGUCAAAUUUGUACUCAAUGUGCAUUUUAUCUCUAAUUUAUGAUAAUCUGUGUCAACCCCAAAUAUAAUAUUAAUCCAGUGAAUUUAUCAUUAUCGGUUAGCAAUAACACUAAUUUUAGUGACAUGUAGGUUGCACUUUUGUGCUCUCAUCACACCCCCCAACUAGCUUAUUGCUAGUCUCUAGCAAUUAACAAGCAAACGAUAAAAUGAGGGCACAAAAAGAUGUAGUCUAACUUAUGACUUUUUCUCCUUUUUUUUUUUGAAUUGAAGCUAAAUACACAAACUAAGAUAUGCACCCAUUUUCGUAGGGAGUAACGAUUGCACUUAGCACGUGCAACAAGCCUUUAAACCCCUAGGUUACCCUAGUGGACGAGUGCUGUCUCGUGAGGGUUUGCAGUGAAGUUACCCACAAACUUCAUUAGUCAGGAAUUUCUAAUGUUUAACUCAAAAUUUGAACAAGUAUCAUUGUAUGAACUUAGAAUUGCAAGGACAAUAAAGACUUAUUGCUAUCAUAUUUAAGCCGACUCUAACUCAAGUUCCAUUACUCCCCAUCUAUCUGCUAACAAGUCAAGAAUGUAGUGAGGUGCAAGAUAAUAUCAUAUAAAUGAGUGGCUUUCACUUACUUCCAACAUGAUCACUCCAAUUUUCAAGAUUUUCUAGAGUUAAAUGGUAAUGAACACCCCAAUUUUUUUUUAUUGUUAUAUUUUUUUUUAUCAGACUGAAUGCUAAGAAGAAUGACUUGUGCAAUAUCUAGCCUUAUUAAGCUUUCUAGCUGACCCAUGUAGCGAGUGUUAGGCCAAUGACUCCUGAUCCAGAUGGCUCAGGGCACUAGGUGUAGAGACACCCUAACGGGCUUAAUAACUCAAGUUAACUAGGCUUCAAGGCCAAAUUAGUCACUCAAAGUUUAAUCUCAAUCAUUCUCAUCUUUUUACGCGAACACUCGCUGCUUGCCAGGCAAGAGGCCCGGUUACUCAGUGAGAAGACUUAAAAUAAACUUAUUAUUUUAUUUUAUCUUUUUUUUUUGAUUAGGGGGUUCAUUACACAUAUAACUUUAAAUUAUCCCGAAUAUUAAAGUAUUCAUAUUAGUUGCAAGUAUACAUACCCCACUAUUUAUGUGCUUACGUGUAGGUGCUAAAUCAUCUUGUAUUAUAUUAGCAGAAGAUAGGUGGGACGAAAACUCAAGCUAGAAUUGCUAUCAUAUUCCUUAACUCAAAGCUAUUGUCAAAGCAAUUCCUAGUUUGUACAGCCAAAAAGAUUAGAGUUUGAGUUAAAAAUUUGAACUCCUUUUUUUUAUUUUAAUUUUAAUUUUUUUUUUGGCAUCAAAAAUAUUCUCACCCCCGUACCUAAAUCUAACAUUGUCCUCAAUGUUAAAGAAGAUUUAAAGCAGUAAUAGGAUAGAGGAGAAGUUACCUGAUAUGGGUAGGUAAAUUAACAAUUGGGGUAAAAAAAAUCCCAAACCUGCAUGUUAGUAAUUUUUUUUUAUAAUAUUUACAUGUUGGGUUGCCUUCCAAGAGCGCUAAGUUUUAUGUCUUCAGCCGGACAAAAUGUGAAUCCUCUUUUUUUUCAACCAUUAUCUAAGAAUGGUUUUGGAAGAGUCCGAUGAAGAACAGUUGGCUGAUGACGAUCUAUGCUCAUAAGGGGAAUAGAACUAAGGGGCGCAUGCUUGACCCCUUUCUCGGAAUGGACAAGGUAAGCUUCUAAAGGGUCCUUAUUAUAAGUUUGUAAGAAAGUCUCCUGAACCAGACUUUCAAUCAUGUCAACUUCAUUGAUUUUUUUGUCGUCUGGUGGUUGUUUACUUAUGUUGAAGACAUUAAGCUCGACUUUCAUGUUGCCAAAAGAUAAUUUUAGCAUCCCAUUCGACAGUUGAUCACAGCAUUUGCUGUGGCUAAGAAAGGCCUACCUAAAAUUAUAGGUGUAUGACUGUCUGGAUGUAUUGCAGGUUCAGUCUCAAGGAUAACGAAGUCCACAGGAUAGUAAAACUCGUUUACUUUCACUAUUUCAUCCUCUACAAUCCCCUUGGGGUACUUCACUGUCCUAUCUGCUAAGGACAGGGUAAUAUUUGUAGGCUUUAAUUCUCCCAAACCUAACUUUUGGUACACAUAGUAGGGAAGUAGGUUCACACUGGCUCCUAAAUCUAAUAGAGCUCUCUGGAUGAUCGUCUCUCCUAUUUUUAUUUCAAUGGUUGGGCAACCAGGGUCUUUGAAUUUCGGUGCAAUCUGUUGUUGAAUGAGAGAUGAGGCUUGUGCAGCCAUAACAGCUUGUCUAGGAAUACUGGUUUUUCUUUUGACCGUGGUGAGGUCUUUCAAGAAUUUUGUAUAGGAGGGAAUUUGUCUUAUGGCAUCGAGAAAAGGUAUAUUUAUUUGAACAGUUUUAAAAACUUCCAUUAUUUCAUCAAAGUUAGAUUGUUUCUUGGAGUCCUGAAGUCUACUGGGAAAGGAAACCUUAGGUUUGUAUGUUUCUAUGGGUUCUUCCUUUUUGUCUGAUUUAUCCUGUUCUUGACCCCUCUUCUGAAUAGGGUUCUUAUCGGAUUCAUUUUUAUUUUCUUUUUCAUGUUCAGGAAGUUGGACUUUAUUGUCCACUUGCUUGCCAGACCUUAAAGUGGUAAUCGUCUGGACUUCAUAGGUCGGAUUUCCAUUAGAAUCGAUUUGAUACUGACCUCUCUGACCUUGAUUUUGUUGUCUACUAGGGUUAGGCACUGGUUGACUAGGUAGUUCACCUUUCUUUCUAUCCCCUAGAGAGUUUGCUAUUUGGCUUAGACUAACCUCAAGUUUUGCAAUCGCUUGCGCAUGGAAUUGGUUAGUUUGGGCUUGGGCUGUGUUGGUCUGUUGUUGUUGCUUAAUAAAAUCUUAUUGUUGCUUCAUCAUAUUAACCAUCAUGGUUUCUAAUGGUGAAGGUUGCUGCGGGAUAGGGGCAUUAUAAGGAGGUACAGAUGGAACCAAAAGUUGGUUCAUUUGUGAUGGACCUAUCCUGGGGAAGUUGUUCUGAAAAUCUGGUAGACCACCUUGAUGCUGAAUAGGUUCGUUCUGCUUGUAUGAGAAAUUUGGGUGGAACCUAUUAUCAGGAUGGUAGAAUGGACUGAAUGAAUUGGGAGUGGGCUUCUUGAAGGCACUAUACGAAUUUAGAGCAUUUGCUUGCUCGGCCUUUAUGGUGGGCAGAUUAGGACAGCACUCCACUAGAUGUUCCGGACUGUUACACAAGACACAUAAACUAUGUGACUCGUGAUCCACUUUCAUGAUGGGAUUUGACUCUUUGUAUGAACUCGAACUAGUGAAAACAGUGAAAGCAUCAAACUUUUUACUUAAGUUGUUCAUUCUCAGUCACCAGAUUGGACAUGACAUUUUUGAGUUCUGGAUAUGUUUUCAUUUCAUAAUUAUCUGGUUUUCUAGAUCCGAACUCAUCUCUAUUUACUUCCUCACCAUAGCUACUCCAAUUUUGGGCAUUUUCGGCUAAGUCAACAAGAAAUUCAUAGGCUUGAUCUGGGGUUUGGUUCAUGAACCUACCUUUGUGCAUGGACUCGAUCAUGUUUCUAUGUGCCGGAGGUAGUCCUUUAUAAAAGAAGUGGACCAGAUCAGCCUUAUCAAGCCCAUGGUGUGGGCAUUUGACCAACAAGUCAUGGAAUCAUUCCCAAGUUUGGAAGAAUUCCUCUUCAGAUUUCCCUCUAAAAGUUCUUAUGGCAUCCUUAAUUUUUUCUGUUUUAAUCAUGGGAUAAAAUUUUGCCAUGAACUUCCUAGAUAGUUGUUCCCAUGUUGUGAUGGAAUUUGGGGCCAGAGAAUAUAGCCAGGCCGCGGCUCGAUCCUCUAAGGUCAUUGGGAACAAUCUCAAUUUUACACUUUCUUCAUCUAAAUUUUGAUUUUUGAAAGUUUGACAAAUUGUCAUGAAUUUAUUUAGAUGAAUGUAGGGUUGUUCACUUUCAAACCCAUGGAAUUUGGGUAGCAUAUUUAUUGUCGCAGCCCGAAUUUCAAAUUGGGCUGCAUUAUUUAUUGGCAACACUAUACAUGUAGGUGGACUAGCGGAUGCAGGAGUGAAUAAUUCAUUCAGGGUUCUAAUGUGUUCACCCAUUGUAGAGAUUGACAGUUGAUUUACAGUUCGCAAGUUGUGAUAAAAAGUUCUGUCAAUCUCAGGAUCAAAUGGGGUUAACUUAUCCCUUAAUGACCUUCUACCAUGCAUACAUUAUCAACACUUCAUUAUAUUUGACUCCUAUAAUGAACGAAAUCCUAAAAGAAGAGAAGGGCUAGACACAGAUGACCACAACAAUUUGACCCUAUUAGUCUUAGAAUUAAGUGAGGUUUAGUAGCUUCUUAAAUCUAGUUGCACAGAGAUUUAUCAGGUUAAAAAGUUUCUGAAAUUCUCUCCUAGAUUAGACAGCUCCUAAUCUUCCUUUCAGAUUAAGCUUGAGCUUACCAGUUAAGCGAUUCAGUAACCAGUGACCAGGAAAGUCCCGAGGUGUGUGGUGGUGCCAGAAGGGUACACCGAUACCACAAUACCCGUAACAGUUCUCACUGUUGUAAAACUUUCCUAGACAUCACCAAUUACUAAAUCCUCACUGGAGUGGCUUUCAGCCGCUUCUUUCCAAGAGCCUAAUUGAGCUCGAAAACCCUAAGGCCAACGUCUAAUUUGAUUUUAAUUUAAUUUGGCUUAGGAUAUGUAUGCAAGGUGGUGAUUUUUGGGCUAAGGACNNNNNNNNNNNNNNNNNNNNAUUUUUUUAUUUAUUUUUUUAAAUUUUUUUUAAAUUUUUUUUAAAUUUUUAUAUAGCAAUAACUUGAAUGUAAACUAAAUACAAUCCUUAUGCGUCAGUCAAUCUCCGAAUGCCCGUUGAAUAAGCUCUGGAGAUUACUCCGUGAGGAGUCCCAAUAGAGGUAUGAUAACCUCGGAGGAUUGCACCCUAUCAAUUACUAGCAAAAAUAAUUUUUUUUUUGAUUUAAUUUUUUCUUUUUAAAUUUCAAAUUUCAAAUCUCAGAAUUCAAAUUUUGAAUUUAAAUUUUUUGAAUUUUUGAAUUUUGAAUUUUUUUUUAUUUUUUUUUGAAUAUUAAAUUUCGAAUUUCAAAUUUCAGAAUUUAAUAACUACGAAAUUAUUAACUAGAAAUUAUCAAAAUAAGGAAAAUUAAUAAAAAUAAAAAUAAAAACUUACUACCGGAGUGCGUUUACUCCGGACAUCCAAAAUUCGAUUUGAUCUUCGUGAUCGUUCUUGCUUCUCGAUUUGCCUCCCCGGCAACGGCGCCAAAAUUUUGUUCGUCCGAUUCUUGUUUACCUAAAAAUAUGCUAAACAGAUCGUUGUUAGAACCGACAAACAAAGUUUAAAUUAAUUUUUCUCUUACCUUUCCUACUCGAAGAAUAGUGGUUGUAAGAGGUCGAUCCACAGGGAGGCGAUUGGAGUUGCAUAAAAAUUAGAACAUUCACUUGGAUUCAAAAUCGAUUUUUGAAUAAUAAAAGAAAAACAUUAUAUCGGGGAUGAUGAUAGAUUCUCUAGUCUAUCAGAGAAUCUUCUUUAUUUAAAAAUAAUAAAAAGACAAGUACUUAGAAAUCAAAGAGCAUUUAUAAAUUCAUGAAAUGUUUAACUAUUCAAAGAAAAAUUUUGGCAUAAAUUAAAAUGGAUGAAAACAAGUGCUAAGAAGAUCAAAAGCCUAGAACAUAAAUUGCAUAAAAGAAAAUUUAAUGUAUUGCAUCAAAGAAGAAUUAAAAGAUUGCAUUAAAAAAAAUAGAAAUUAAGUUGAACCUAGAACAAGGAUUGCAUGAAAAAGAAAUGAUAGAUUUGAUAAAAAGAAAAUUUAUUGCAAAUAAAAGUGGAGAUUGGAAAUCUAAUGUUUCUUCUCUUUUACAAAUAACAUAAAAAAAUAAAACAAAAAGCUUCUCCCUCCUGCUAGAACAUAAAAUAUUAUUUUUUUUAUUCUUUUCUUCCCCCCAAGAACAGAGCAAUGCUCUGUUUUUCUUCUCAACCGAGCUCACCUCCUCCUCCUCCGACCCGCCGGCCACCACCCAAACCGAGCUCACCUCCUCCUCUUCGUUCUCCCCUUCUUAUAGUGCCACAGCAAGCGUGGAUGGCUGAAUCAUGGGCGGAAGGAGAGGGCGGACAGGCUCUUGGCUGGAACAGUGGCUUGAUCACAGCACGCUUGAUGGGCGCGGGAUCGCUGGAAUCGGGGAAGAAGGUCGUCCGGGAUGCGGAAGGAUGAAUGCGAGACACACGUGGAUGGCCAGAGGAGGCUGGGACGGGCUGGAUCUCUGCAUGCAUCAUGGGAUCUUGGACACGGAAGGAGGGAGGAGCUGCAGACGGGCGCCGAUUCGGAAGGAGGACGGCGUGAUUGCUGGGGUGCCGGAUGAAGAAGAUCCCGGUUUGCUGAUUUGGGAAGGAAGAAGACGCUGCGGGAUGAGCUGGAAACGUUGGUUGGAGACGCGUGGAUCACUGGAGAGGCGGACGUCGGUUGCUGGCUAGCGGGCUGAGGCGGAGGCUGCCGUGGGAUCGUCCGGCUUGGAUCACGGGAGAGGGGCUGGAGCUCACUUGGAAAGCGCCGCGAGACCACUGCUAGCAUCACGGGAGGAAAGAGCUGGCUCGGGAGCUCUCGAUAUGGAGGAGGCCGGACAGGAUGAGUGGCUGUGAGCCGCUGGGAGUAGCGUUGAAGACGCGGAAUGGAAGAGACGCACGUGGGAUGAGGCGGAGGAGCUGCAGAUCUGGAAAGAGUUGGAGGUGUCGUGGACGGCGGAUGGUGGCGUGAUCACGCCUUGCUGGAACGUUGAAUUGGUCAUGUGCCAGUUUCUGCAAUGGACUUAGAUUUUGGAAGAAGGUCUGGGACUUUCUUUGCCCUCCUGAGAUGAGAGCUGGGAGAUGCCAAGUUCCGUCCAAUUAGUCAUAUAGAUAAAAAAAAUAGUGUGAUAUGAAAUUUGGCUUGUAGACGGACGGACUGAGUUCGUCACGGGUCAUCUAUUCUGACUGGAGGUUAAGUGCAAGUCUUUCAAGUCAUGGGUCACCCAGCACCUCAUAGUUAUGAUAUGGCCAAAUUAGAUUUGCCCAAAAUUCCUUCCCAAAAACACAAAGAAAAUGGACUUGAUUCGGACCCGAACCUGACUCGGACCCGACCCGAUCUUCAACCGGAUCGGAUCUGGGAAGGGAUCCUUUUGAAGUCAAAUUUGUACUCAAUGUGCAUUUUAUCUCUAAUUUAUGAUAAUCUGUAUCAACCCCAAAUAUAAUAUUAAUCCAGUGAAUUUAUCAUUAUCGGUUAGCAAUAACACUAAUUUUAGUGACAUGUAGGUUGCACUUUUGUGCUCUCAUCACAGCAUAAAUCUGGCACUUUCAUCUCAAACAUGUUAUUUUGUUGAGGCCUUGAAGAUUUGCAUGAUGACAUCAACCUUAUCUGUUACCAAACUUUUCUAUUCUUUUCCGUCAGUAGAGGUUCCUACAUUAGAUAAUAUUUCUCUCAAUAUCAUUUUGGAUCUCUGAUAAAGAAUUGCCACAGUUAAGGACAGCCAUGAAGACAACUUGCACAAUGAUUUAUCAGGGACAUGCAUCUUGUGAACCAUUCUUAAGUUGCAUGCUGAUAAGUACCUUACCUUGUAUGAAUGUCCUCAUGUGAUUUUUUUUUUUCUUUUCAGUCUAAGGAGAUAAUUGAUUAUGCUGCAUGCUCCAUUAACACAGUA
rnacentral:lncRNA from 1 species